rnacentral:ncRNA from 2 species
AUGCGCAAACACGGGAGCUUGGUGGAUUUUCCAGGCUGAGAGGAGGGCACAAGCCCUCGACCGUCGAACCUGAACCGGAUAAUGCCGGCGCAGGGACGUUUCUCACCCGUGCCA